UACGAAGGGGGCUAGCGUUGCUCGGAAUCACUGGGCGUAAAGCGCACGUAGGCGGCUUACUAAGUCAGGGGUGAAAUCCUGGAGCUCAACUCCAGAACUGCCUUUGAUACUGGUGAGCUUGAGUCCGGAAGAGGUGAGUGGAACUGGCGAGUGUAGAGGUGAAAUUCGUAGAUAUUCGCAAGAACACCAGUGGCGAAGGCGGCUCACUGGUCCGGUACUGACGCUGAGGUGCGAAAGCGUGGGGGAGCAAACAGG
rnacentral:rRNA from 1 species